rnacentral:rRNA from 1 species
UACAGAGGGGGCAAGCGUUGUUCGGAAUUACUGGGCGUAAAGGGCGCGUAGGCGGCCUGCUAAGUCGAACGUGAAAUCCCCGGGCUCAACCCGGGAACUGCGUCCGAUACUGACAGGCUUGAAUCCGGGAGAGGGAUGUGGAAUUCCAGGUGUAGCGGUGAAAUGCGUAGAUAUCUGGAGGAACACCGGUGGCGAAGGCGGCAUCCUGGACCGGUAUUGACGCUGAUGCGCGAAAGCGUGGGGAGCGAACAGG